AGUGAAGUGCCUGAACUAAAAGGAUUAUCGUGAUAGGAUAAAUUAUGCAAUUAUUAAUGCCUUCACUA
rnacentral:tRNA from 1 species